UUGUGCUCAUGCCAAUAUGCUAUUUAUUUAUGUAUAUCUGUAACAUUUUGCAGGCUAUCUCCUUGCUUACUGAGAUGGUGAGAGACACUGUUAGGAACAACAAGAUGAAACAAUUGCUCCUGCCAACACUUGGAGAACUGAUUUAUGCAGUUUCUGCCCAAGAGGAAAGAAGGAGCACUCCAGAGAAAGCUGAAACAUUUCCCUGGCUACUUACACUGUGCUAAUGAAGAGAAAUUUGUUAUGAAUAUAGUCCGGCUGUUGGAAAGCCCAUCAACAGGAGUUACAGCUAAAACGUUCCUGUUUAUCGUACAGGUGUUAAUGAACAACAAAGGUAAACAAGGGUAGUUAUGUACAUUGAAAGAGACAGCUGAAAAAGCCACACCUGUAAAAGAACAGCAAAGCAUGAAUGAAUAUCUGUCAGGAUGUCUAAACCUUCUCAUCUAUCACAUUGUGGGGGUGCAGCCUGGAAUUCUUGAUUCCUGCUCUUGCUCAUCCCCACAUCUUGUGUCACAUCAUCCUUUUGAAUUGCAAGCUCUCUACCUCUUGGUUUUGUGUAUUUUUGCAGGUAAUCUGUAUGCGCAAUGUAUAUACCCAUUUAAUUGUACAGUGUUGUGGAAUGUGUUGGCUAUUUGUUGAUAAUAACUAUAAAAGUAUCAGAAGAUACUGGUCCUUUUGUAAUCUUAUAUUAAUAUAGUAAAAAUAUGUUCAUAUCACAUAUGCAAUGUUUGUCUUUCCUAUCAUGUUGAAAUAAAUAAACUUUCCAUUUUUAGAAGCUCAGAAAUGUGGGUUUAGUACAAUGG